UUGGGGAAGAUCGCAACUUGUACCAUCUGCGGUCAGGAGGAUGAAGAUGAGUUCCACGCAGUGGUGGCGUGCACAAAAGCUAAAGCUCUCCGGAGUGAGAUGAGAAAAGUUUGGGCUUUACCCACAGAGAAAGAAUUCAGGUACACAGGGAGGGACUGGCUCCAAUGCCUCUGAGCGAAGUGCGAUGAAGACACAAGGGAGAAGCUAAUGUUACUGUCCUGGAGAGCUUGGUUCCUACGCGAUGACUGCGUUCAUGGAGAAGGAAAAGCAAGAGUUUCUGUAUCGGUUCACUUCUUGGAGAGGUACAAGGAAGAGAUCCACCAGUCAAUGUGCAAACUUACAGAUGACCGAGGGAAAGGUAGUCUGUUCCCUGAAAAAUUAAACACUCCCACCCAGACUCCAAAGACGAUCUGCAAUUGGAACCCCCCUCCUGUCGGAGUUUGGAAACUAAAUACAGAUGCGUCGUUCGUCGGCAAUUCAGAGGAUACCUGUAUUGGAACGGUAGUCAGAGAUCACAGGGGAGAUGUGGUCUUGUCAGUCUGCAGGAAGAUCAAGGCAAGUGCAGGCCCUGAAGAAGCAGAAGCAGAGGCAAUCAAGUUGGGGAUGAGCGAGCUAUCAAGCUUGUACCAAGGCAAAUUAAUCAUUGAAUCUGACUGCCUAACCAUGGUGAAUCGACUGAAAGCGGAAGGAGUGGACAAAUCACAAUUACACCACAUUGUCCAAGACAUCAGGGAUCAGAUGGGGCUCUUUGAAUCCGUCUCCUGGUCGGCAACCAAAUGA
rnacentral:rRNA from 1 species